rnacentral:rRNA from 1 species
GAUCCUGGCUCAGGAUAAACGCUAGCUACAGGCUUAACACAUGCAAGUCGAGGGGCAUCAGUUUGGUUUGCUUGCAAACCAAAGCUGGCGACCGGCGCACGGGUGAGUAACACGUAUCCAACCUGCCUCAUACUCGGGGAUAGCCUUUCGAAAGAAAGAUUAAUAUCCGAUAGCAUAUAUUUCCCGCAUGGGUUUUAUAUUAAAGAAAUUCGGUAUGAGAUGGGGAUGCGUUCCGAUUAGUUUGUUGGCGGGG